CCUACGGGGGGCAGCAGUGAGGAAUAUUGGUCAAUGGACGAGAGUCUGAACCAGCCAAGUAGCGUGAAGGAUGACUGCCCUAUGGGUUGUAAACUUCUUUUAUAUGGGAAUAAAAUGUUCCACGUGUGGGAUUUUGUAUGUACCAUAUGAAUAAGGAUCGGCUAACUCCGUGCCAGCAGCCGCGGUAAUACGGAGGAUCCGAGCGUUAUCCGGAUUUAUUGGGUUUAAAGGGAGCGUAGGUGGAUUGUUAAGUCAGUUGUGAAAGUUUGCGGCUCAACCGUAAAAUUGCAGUUGAAACUGGCAGUCUUGAGUACAGUAGAGGUGGGCGGAAUUCGGGGUGUAGCGGUGAAAUGCUUAGAUAUCACGAAGAACUCCGAUUGCGAAGGCAGUUCACUGGACUGCAACUGACACUGAGGCUCGAAAGUGUGGGUAUCAAACAGGAUUAGAUACCCUAGUAGUC
rnacentral:rRNA from 1 species